rnacentral:rRNA from 1 species
CUGGUUGAUCCUGCCAGUAGUCAUAUGCUUGUSUCAAAGAUUAAGCCAUGCAUGUCUAAGUAUAAGCAAUUUAUACAGUGAAACUGCGAAUGGCUCAUUAAAUCAGUUAUCGUUUAUUUGAUAGUUCCUUUACUACAUGGUAUAACUGUGGUAAUUCUAGAGCUAAUACAUGCUUAAAAUCUCGACCCUUUGGAAGAGAUGUAUUUAUUAGAUAAAAAAUCAAUGUCUUCGGACUCUUUGAUGAUUCAUAAUAACUUUUCGAAUCGCAUGGCCUUGUGCUGGCGAUGGUUCAUUCAAAUUUCUGCCCUAUCAACUUUCGAUGGUAGGAUAGUGGCCUACCAUGGUUUCAACGGGUAACGGGGAAUAAGGGUUCGAUUCCGGAGAGGGAGCCUGAGAAACGGCUACCACAUCCAAGGAAGGCAGCAGGCGCGCAAAUUACCCAAUCCUAAUUCAGGGAGGUAGUGACAAUAAAUAACGAUACAGGGCCCAAUCGGGUCUUGUAAUUGGAAUGAGUACAAUGUAAAUACCUUAACGAGGAACAAUUGGAGGGCAAGUCUGGU